rnacentral:rRNA from 1 species
GUAUACGGGGGAUGCAAGCGUUAUCCGGAAUCAUUGGGCGUAAAGCGCCUGUAGGUUGUCUAAUAAGUCUGUUGUUAAAGACUAGGGCUUAACCCUGGGAAAGCGAUGGAAACUACUAGGCUUGAGUAUGGUAGGGGUAGAGGGAAUUUCUAGUGUAGCGGUGAAAUGCGUAGAUAUUAGAAAGAACACCGGUGGCGAAAGCGCUCUACUGGGCCAUUACUGACACUGAGAGGCGAAAGCUAGGGGAGCAAAAGGGAUUAGAUACCCCUGUAGUCCUAGCCGUAAACGAUGGAUACUAGGUGUUGUAUUAUUAUACAGUAUCGUAGCUAACGCGUUAAGUAUCCCGCCUGGGGAGUACGCUCGCAAGGGUGAAACUCAAAGGAAUUGACGGGGGCCCGCACAAGCGGUGGAGCAUGUGGUUUAAUUCGAUGCAACGCGAAGAACCUUACCAGGGCUUGACAUACUACAAAUCUUUUUGAGACGAAAGAGUGCCUUCGGGAAUGUAGAUACAGGUGGUGCAUGGCUGUCGUCAGCUCGUGUCGUGAGAUGUUGGGUUAAGUCCCGCAACGAGCGCAACCCUCGUUUUUAGUUGCCAAUUUAUUGGGAUUUCUAGAGAGACUGCCGGUGAUAAACCGGAGGAAGGUGAGGAUGACGUCAAGUCAGCAUGCCCCUUAUGCCCUGGGCCACACACGUGCUACAAUGACAAAGACAAAGAGUCGCAAAUUCGCGAGAACUAGCUAAUCUCAUAACU